UAACAGUGAUCGGUGAAGUUCCCAAAAGGAUGAUGGGGCCCUACAACAAUGAUUCCACCUGCACUGUGGUAACCCACUUAGCUGACAAACAUCACCCAACAAUCGACUUUGUAUUAUAAACUUCUCAGGAUAAUUUCAAGGUGGCUAGCUGAAAUGGUCUAGCCUCAUGCUCUACUCUAGCCAGGACUUCAGUUCUACCCUGGUGCUGAAUGCCUGGAAGAUUCUUGGUGAGUCUCAGGUCUUCAGUCCCUAUUACAUCGAAAGGCCAAGAGUCUGGAUACUGAUGUCACUGACAGAUUGCAUCAUCAUCAUCAUCACCACCACCACCACCACCAGCAACAACAGGGGUUCUAACUAGCUAUGAGACCUCUCUAGCCUCAGUCAGACAACCAGUGCAGAUCUGGGACUUGUCUUCAAGGGGAUCAUGGACUUCUGCUCCCUCCCUGGGUAAACAUAGUUUGGAGAGCCCAGUGUUAUGGCCUGUUACUUAAAGAUCUGUCCUCUUCAUGGAGCUUUGUGUUGAAAAGUAUUCCUUAUAAUCAGGUAUGGUUUAACAACUUAAACAAAACUAUUUAUUUUUAAAUGUGUCUGUGUGGGGGUAUGUGCAUG